rnacentral:rRNA from 1 species
AACUUGGUCAUUUAGAGGAAGUUAAAGUCGUAACAAGGUUUCCGUAGGUGAACCUGCGGAAGGAUCAUUAUUGAAUAAACUCGUGUGGGUUGCUGCUGACCUCUCGGGGUAUGUGCACGCCUGCCAUUGUUUCAUUCUCCCUUCCACCUGUGCACUAACUGUAGACUGAGCUUGCCACACUUUCAGACGUGCUUUGCGUCUGGCAUGAGGACUGCUCUGCUGUUCUCGGGUGGCUUGGUCUAUGUAUUUAUCAAACACUUUAUUGAAUGUGAUUGAACGUGUGUCCUGGGUUCUUCUGAAGACCCAUAAAACCUUAUACAACUUUCAACAACGGAUCUCUUGGCUCUCGCAUCGAUGAAGAACGCAGCGAAACGCGAUAAGUAAUGUGAAUUGCAGAAUUCAGUGAAUCAUCGAAUCUUUGAACGCACCUUGCGCUCCUUGGCAUUCCGAGGAGCAUGCCUGUUUGAGUGUCAUUAAAUCCUCAACGCAAUCUCUCUUGUGGUGAUUGACGUUGGAUGUGGAGGCUGCUGGCUUGAUUCCAAGUCGGCUCUUCUCAAGUGCAUUAGCGGGACCACACACCACUGCAGCUUGGUAUUGAUAGUUGUCAUACCAGGUUGGUUGGGGGGAUAACGUGUUCUGCUUCUAGUCGUCUCUUUCAUGAGACAAUUUCUGACGAUUUGACCUCAAAUCAGGUAGGACUACCCGCUGAACUUAAGCAUAUCAAUAAGCGGAGGAAAAGAAACUAACAAGGAUUCCCCUAGUAAC